rnacentral:rRNA from 1 species
AGUGAACGCUGGCGGUAGGCCUAACACAUGCAAGUCGAACGGCAGCACAGUAAGAGCUUGCUCUUACGGGUGGCGAGUGGCGGACGGGUGAGGAAUACAUCGGAAUCUACUUUUUCGUGGGGGCUAACGUAGGGAAACUUACGCUAAUACCGCAUACGACGUACGGGUGAAAGCAGGGGAUCUUCGGACCUUGCGCGAUUGAAUGAGCCGAUGUCGGAUUAGCUAGUUGGCGGGGUAAAGGCCCACCAAGGCGACGAUCCGUAGCUGGUCUGAGAGGAUGAUCAGUCACACUGGAACUGAGACACGGUCCAGACUCCUACGGGAGGCAGCAGUGGGGAAUAUUGGACAAUGGGCGCAAGCCUGAUCCAGCCAUACCGCGUGGGUGAAGAAGGCCUUCGGGUUGUAAAGCCCUUUUGUUGGGAAAGAAAAGCAGCAGGUUAAUACCCCGCUGUUCUGACGGUACCAAAAGAAUAAGCACCGGCUAACUUCGUG